AACGAACGCUGGCGGCAGGCUUAACACAUGCAAGUCGAACGGGUGUAGCAAUACAUCAGUGGCAGACGGGUGAGUAACACGUGGGAACCUUCCUAGGGGUACGGAACAACUCAGGGAAACUUGAGCUAAUACCGUAUACGUCCGUGAGGAGAAAGAUUUAUCGCCCUUAGACGGGCCCGCGUCGGACUAGCUAGUUGGUGGGGUAACGGCCUACCAAGGCGACGAUCCGUAGCUGAUCUUAGAGGAUGAUCAGCCACACUGGGACUGAGACACGGCCCAGACUCCUACGGGAGGCAGCAGUGGGGAAUCUCGGACAAUGGGCGCAAGCCUGAUCCAGCCAUGCCGCGUGAGUGAAGAAGGUCUUCGGAUUGUAAAGCUCUUUUGCCAGGGACGAUAAUGACGGUACCUGGAGAAUAAGCCCCGGCAAACUUCGUGCCAGCAGCCGCCGUAA
rnacentral:rRNA from 1 species